rnacentral:rRNA from 1 species
ACGUGGAGNACNCAUCAACUUGGAUUUUGUAAGUAGUUGCGAAUGAACACAAAUUUGAUCACUUUGGCAAUCUGUACACAUUGCUGUGUAACAAUUUGUAUACGUUGGCACAGUGCUAUCAAAGCUGCAUGCAAGUGUUUUUUGAAAGGAUACAACAUGGGAUGUGAUAUUCAUGUGUGUGUGCCUGCUUUGUCCACAGCCUGUGCUGUAUGAAUCACAUUUCUUGCAACUGAAAUGCUAAUGGCAUGGUAAAGUUCAUGUGACAUGACACAAGCUUGAGAUUCAUGAUGUGCAAGUACCAUGAGGGAAAUGUGAAAAGGACUUUGGAAAGAGAAUUAAAUAAAGCCUGCAUUUGCUGACAAUGAAAGCAAGUGUGGAUGUUCAUGUAAUUGUUACUGCAUCAAUCAAUGUUCAUCUUGGUUACUGCAUGCUUUAUAUUACAGCUCAGAACAUGAAGUGUGUGUAACAGCUCUGCUUUGAUUUUUCCCACAUGGGAUCAGUUGAAACAUUGUGAGAGCACUCUUCAGUUUCCUUAUGUACCCACCAGCUUUGUCCACUCGCGUGUUGGCACACAUGUAAUGAUGAUGUGUUUAUGCAAGAUACUUCUGUGCUCAACAACAUGUGUCAUCCUUAUGCC